GGGGAUUUAGCUCAGUGGUAGAGUGCUUGCCUAGGAAGCGCAAGGCCCUGGGUUCGAUUCCCAGCUUCG
rnacentral:tRNA from 1 species